UUUCCUCGAAAAUUCACAUACCCUUUCUCUUCUCUGAAUAAUUAAACUCGUAUAUAAACUCUGUACAUACCCUUUCUUUCUCACAACCAUCUUCUCUCUGUAAAUUGCAAAAAUCCCCUUUCUCUUCUCUGAAUAUAAAUUUUCUAAUUUUUUUUUUCUUGAAUUUUCCACCUUUUUCUUUCUGGGAAAAAUAUAAAUCUGUUUCUAAUAAAUUUGAAGAUGAAUUCAGUUAGAUUGAUGAGCCUCUCAUCUAUUAUUGGUUUUUUAUUGUUGGCUUUGGUUGAGUUUAGUUUUGGACAAGGCAUGGCUCCUUCUUCAGCCCCACUUCCUUCUAAUGACGGCACAGCGAUUGAUCAAGGGAUUGCUUAUGUUCUUCUACUUGUUGCACUUGCGAUUACGUACUUGGUCCAUUAGUACACUCGUGGAGUUAUUUCUUUAGCUUAUAAUCGAUUUUUUUUAUUCAUCAUUUAAAUUCUUUAUGUAAUUUUCUCCUGUUAUUCAGAAUGGAGAAUUUUAUAGUUUUGUGAUUAAAGAAAAUAAGGAAAGAAUUCUUAUUUGUGAUACAAAAUUCAUUUUUCUAAAUUAUUGCGAAUUAUUGUACCUAA